UUGACCUCAAAUCGGGUGAGACUACCCGCUGAACUUAAGCAUAUCAAUAAGCGGAGGAAAAGAAACUAACAAGGAUUCCCCUAGUAACUGCGAGUGAAGCGGGAAAAGCUCAGAUUUAAAAUCUGGUGGCCUCUGGUCAUCCGAGUUGUAAUUUAGAGAAGCGUCUUCCGCGCUGGACCGUGCACAAGUCUCCUGGAAUGGAGCGUCAUAGAGGGUGAGAAUCCCGUCUUUGGCACGGAUCCCGGGGCUUAUGUGAUGCGCUCUCGA
rnacentral:rRNA from 1 species